AGAGCGAACGCUGGCGGCAGGCUUAACACAUGCAAGUCGAGCGCCCCGCAAGGGGAGCGGCAGACGGGAGAGUAACACGUGGGAACGUACCUUUCGGUUCGGAACAACCCAGGGAAACUUGGGCUAAUACCGGAUACGUCCGUAAGGAGAAAGAUUUAUCGCCGAAAGAUCGGCCCGCGUCUGAUUAGCUAGUUGGUGAGGUAACGGCUCACCAAGGCGACGAUCAGUAGCUGGUCUGAGAGGAUGAUCAGCCUCACUGGGACUGAGACACGGCCCAGACUCCUACGGGAGGCAGCAGUGGGGAAUAUUGGACAAUGGGCGCAAGCCUGAUCCAGCCAUGCCGCGUGGGUGAUGAAGGCCCUAGGGUUGUAAAGCCCUUUCGGCGGGGAAGAUAAUGACGGUACCCGCAGAAGAAGCCCGGCUAACUUCGUGCCAGCAGCCGC
rnacentral:rRNA from 1 species